GCCAGGCGUGGUGGCGCACACCUGUAAUCCUAGCUACUCAGGAGGCUGAGGCAGGAGAAUCUCUUGAACCCAGGAGAUGGAGGUUGCAGUGAGCUGAGAUCAUGCCACUUCACUCCAGCCUGGGUGACAGAGUGAGACUCUGUCUCAA
rnacentral:SRP_RNA from 1 species